GGAUAAAGAUGGGGAUGAGGGAAAGGGGAGGAUGAGGAUGGAGAUGAGAAAGAAGGAAGGAGGAGGGAGAAGUGUCCAAGAUAGGCUGCAAGUAGGGAGGGGAGCUGAAUAUGACGUCAAAUGCAUCCUAGUCAUAUACAUAAUUAUCAGUGCGUAUAUAAUAAAAUUCAUGUCCUUUUCAAAUAAAGAUAUAAAUAACCCUCAUUAUAAUUUUUAUAUGUUUUUAAAAGAGGCACAGUGGGUUGUCAAAUCACUGCACCAAGAGCUUUCCAGUACUCACAUUGGGCAAAACAUGAGAAAUGAAUCAAUGUCUGUCAUAUGACACUUAUUGUCUUCAUUCCAAUGUUGCCCUUUUAUGAAACUAACUGCUCACUGCAGAAAAAAAAAACAGGCAUACAUAGACAUACAUGCAAACAGAACAUAAACAAAUAAAAAAUAUAAAAAUAAAUUUUAAAUUAAAAAAAUAUUCUCAGUGCUGCCAGAUGAGGGCAGCCAACCAAGCAUAGAGUUCAGACGUGAUGCUAAAAAUGAGUCUUGUGGAUUAGUAAGAACAAACUCUGCCAUGAUACUGGUUAAGCUUCUGGGUUGCUCAGGCAUGGCCUAGCUCAUCCUGACUACAGUGGAAAUUACUUGUCAGUGGCUGCUACUCCUCUCUUCAAAGCUACUUGCCCACAAGCAUAUGACCUACUUUCAAAACUGUAAAUCUCCAAGGUCAUUGAUUCUGUUAGGGCCUUGUUUGAGUUCUGGUAAGCCCAGAGCCUAUCCUUGGGAGUCAGGCCAGUAGGCUAAGCUAAGAAAAUGUUAACAGGAGUCACAACUCUGUAGUCUAGAAGGCUGCAGCUUGUCAAGAGUGGGUAUCAGAACCUUUGAAGGUCUGUGCUUAACUGUUCUCCACGGCUUGCCUGCGGAUAAGAUCCUGUUCCUUCUCCUGGCGCAUUGGAAUCAUAAGCUUUGACGAUUUUUACAACUUCUCACAUAAGAAUAUUUUACUCUUGAGCUGAAAUUGGCAGAAUUCCUUUCAACUGACUCACUUUUGUCUCGCUCUGGAAGAGUAGGUGGACUCCAUGCAUCCUGCCUUAGUUCUCAGACCCAUCACUGAGGCCAGAGAUUCAGCCUUUGUUGUCUGUGUCAUUCACUUUUAUCAAUUCACUUCUGCCAGAGCUGGAACGUGAUCCCUAAGAGCUCAUGUGUUGGAGCUUGGUCUCAAAAAAAAAAAAAAAAAUCCAGGCAUAGUGGCUCACAGUUACCAUCCCAGAGUUGAAAGGUAGAGUCAGGCAGACCCUUGGAGGUCACUGACCACCCACUCUUGCUUCCUUGGCAAUCUCCACAACAGUGAGAGACCCUGUCAAUGCUCAAAGGCUCAAGGUUGUCCUCUGGUCUCCAUAGAUAUGGACAUACAGAGACAUGUACACCCUGCAUACACACCAAUGAGAAAACUGCAAAACAUACAAAUGUUUGUGUGAUCCUCUGUGUGUGAACACAAAAUCAGAGCCAUAGCACUGCAUGUAGAGGCACGUGGCCAAAGGACAUGCCACGCCUGUUUGUGGGCAGUGUUGCUGGUAAGAAUGUCCUCCGUGCAGAAAGACACAGUGGUCUCCUCUCUUCCUCUUCUCCCCUGUGGCUGAGCUCCCAAGAGAAGCUGGGCUCCCUCCAUUGACAAGAUUCCACCUGACUCGGAGGAAGGCUCAAUCUUGCUCUGGUACACACUCUAGGACAUGCUACUCCUGGGGACAGGUCACUGGACAACAGGCUUGCUGCUAGCACAAGGAAUCUCUGCUUUGCAGCUCUAGACAGACUGCAUGAGCCUUCAUACGCUGGAAGUUCUUACUGCCCUGGAUGAAGGACAUUCUGCAGGCAGGGAGGGAGAGCUUGUGACACAUAAGGACACCAUCAGCCCUCGCCUCCACGUCUGCAAUUCCACACAUGCAGAAUGGAUUCUGGAUAAUCCCAGCAAAGCCAGAGUGGGGCCUGUGGAACACAGUUUUCCUCCAAACAGCUUUCUACAAUCCACCCUAGCACGCCGGAAAACACAUUCUAAAGCCACUUAGGCGAUUUCUUUUUAAUGUCACUGUUAUACUUUGAGGGAUUUAAUAAAAACCUUCAUAAAAGGGCA